rnacentral:rRNA from 1 species
GACGAACGCUGGCGGCGUGCCUAAUACAUACAAGUCGAGCGGACUGAAUGGGAGCUUGCUCUUGUUCGGUCAGCGGCGGACGGGUGAGUAACACGUGGGCAACCUGCCCGCAAGACCGGGAUAACUCCGGGAAACCGGAGCUAAUACCGGAUAACACCGAAGACCGCAUGGUCUUUGGUUGAAAGGCGGCGCAAGCUGCCACUUGCGGAUGGGCCCGCGGCGCAUUAGCUAGUUGGUGAGGUAACGGCUCACCAAGGCGACGAUGCGUAGCCGGCCUGAGAGGGUGACCGGCCACACUGGGACUGAGACACGGCCCAGACUCCUACGGGAGGCAGCAGUAGGGAAUCUUCCGCAAUGGGCGAAAGCCUGACGGAGCGACGCCGCGUGAGCGAAGAAGGCCUUCGGGUCGUAAAGCUCUGUUGUGAGGGACGAAGGAGCGCCGUUUGAAGAAGGCGGCGCGGUGACGGUACCUCACGAGGAAGCCCCGGCUAACUACGUG